GGUGAAUAAGUCAAUGGGCGAGUCAUAGUCAGACGAUUAUCUAUUUAUCAAAUAGACAUGUGUGGCUAUAGUAACCUGGCACUGGUUCCUUACAAAACGUUAUUUUCCAUCAUUAUAGCUGAUGGAAUAUGAUAACAACUGAAUGAUAGGUGCUUCAAGGUGACAAUGUUGAAGUUGAAAGAUAAACAUGUCAUUUAGACGUAUGUAUGGACGCAUCCCCUUCCGGG
rnacentral:lncRNA from 1 species